rnacentral:rRNA from 1 species
CACGGGGGGAGCAAGCGUUGUUCGGAAUCACUGGGCGUAAAGGGCGUGUAGGCGGUCAGGAAAGUGGGAUGUGAAAUACCCCGGCUCACCCGGGGAACUGCAUUCCAAACUACCUGGCUAGAGUAUGGGAGAGGAUGAGGGAAUUCCUGGUGUAGCGGUGAAAUGCGUAGAUAUCAGGAGGAACACCGGUGGCGAAGGCGCUCAUCUGGCCCAAUACUGACGCUGAGGCGCGAAAGCUAGGGGAGCAAACAGG